AUGUCGGUGCUCGCUUUCGCUGCUUCUGCGGCGGUCUUCUCCCUGCUCCUUCUUUCGCGCGCCGGAGGGUCGCCGCCGUCUGGGCCGGUGGCCGUGGGCGCGCUGCUGGACCUGACGAGCGACGCGGGGAGGCAGAGCCUCACCUGCAUAUCCAUGGCGCUGGAGGACUUCCACGCGGCGCACGCCGGCUCCGGCGCCGCGCGAGUCGAGCUGCGCGUCCGGGACUCGCGCGGAGAGGUCGUCGCGGCAGCGACCGCCGCCGAUGAUCUGAUCAGAACAGAUCGAGUACAAGCCAUCAUUGGGCCUCAAACUUCAGCCGAAUCCGAGUUCAUUGCAUACCUUGGGAAUCACACACACACUCCAAUCCUCUCCUUGGCUCCAACUUCUGCAGCAUCGACAGCUUUCCUUCUGCAGAUUGCACCCAAUGAGUCCUUUCAGGUUGCUCCAGUUGCUGCUAUCCUUGAUAUGUUCACAUGGCGUACCACCACCGUGGUGUAUGAAGACUCGCCAUAUGGAGCUCGCAUCCUUGCAGCCCUGUUUUCCGUCCUUCAGGGUUACAACAUACGUGUCAUGGAUAGCAUAGCUCUGCCUGUCGGUGUGACUGAGGACUACCUCGACAAAGUACUCUACAAUCUCAAGGAGACGCCCACACGAGUGUUCAUUGUGCAUAUGGCCCCAGAUCUUGCUGCUCGCGUCUUCUACCAGGCGACUGUCGCUGGUAUGAUGUCUGAUGGCUAUAUCUGGAUAGCCACUUCCAGCAUUGGCAGUACAGUGGAGAGCUUGAGUAUUGACAAGGUUGAUCAUAUGCAGGGGGUCGUCACCUUCCGACCUUAUGUGCAGGCAACUGGCCAUAUCAUGAACUUCACUGCAAGGUUGAAGUCAAGAUUUCUGUUAGAGAAUCCAGGCAUUCACAAUGUGCACAACCCGAGCACGCAACUGCUCUGGGCUUACGACACUGCAUGGGCUCUUGCCAAAGCAGUCCAUAUAGCCAGAAUGUCCAGCUCAACACCUGGGAGAAUGCUUCUCGGCGCAGUCCUCAACACCACAUUUGAUGGGUUGUCUGGGAGGUUCAGGCUGGUAAAUGGACAGCUGGAGCUAUCAACACAUGAGGUUAUUAACAUCGUCGGUAAAGGUGCAAGAACAGUCGGUUUCUGGACGCCCGAGUCUGGUAUCUUGAAGAGUUUGGAAACGAAUAGUGUGAAAGGGCUGAAACAAGUACUCUGGCCAGGUCAUCUAGCAAUUGCUCCAAAAGGGUGGGACGUGUCAUCGAACAGGCGGCCUCUUCGUAUUGUUGUGCCUGAAAAACAGGGGUUUAACCAGUUUGUCGAGGUCACCUACAGCCCAACAACAAAUAGUUCUACUAUCAGAGGCUACUGUAUUGACAUUUUCGACAUGGUCAUGAAGAAUUUGCCCUAUCCAGUGGCCUACCAAUAUGUGCCAGUUAGUGAUAGCUCGCGAAACUAUGACAAUCUUCUCAGCCUGGUGCAUGAAAAGAAAGCUGAUGGCAUGGUUGGUGAUACGACCAUCACGAUGAGGAGGAUGAAUGUGGUGUCCUUCACAAAGCCCUUCACUGAUACGGGAUUGUCAAUGGUAGUGGUAGUGAAGAAAGAAACGGACGGGGGCAUGUGGAUCUUCCUGCAGCCACUGACAACUACCCUCUGGAUCACCAGUCUUGCCUUUUUCUGCUUUACCGGUUUUGUUGUGUGGGUGGUUGAGCACCGAAUCAACCCCAAAUUCCGAGGCACACCUUGCCAACAGUUUGGCACCGUCUUCUACUUUGCAUUCUCGACUCUUGUCUUCUCCCACAAGGAGAAGCUGGAGAGCAACCUGUCAAGAUUCAUGGUUAUCAUAUGGCUCUUUCUUGUCCUUAUUCUUACAUCAAGCUACACGGCAAACUUAACAUCAGUGCUGACAGUCCAACGGCUUCAGCCGACAGUGACUAGCGUGCAAGAUCUCCUAAGAAAUGGUGAUUACGUGGGGUAUCACAAUGGCUCCAUUGUGCCAUACUGGCUUGAGAAAAUGGGCUUCCGCAAGGAAAUUUUACUGGGCUAUAGCACAGUGGAGGAGUAUGCCGACGCCCUGCGCAGGGGAUCCGGCAAUGGAGGGGUGUCUGCAAUAUUUGACGAGAUCCCCUACCUAAAGGCUUUCCUUUCAAAGUACUGUGAAGGUUACACCAUGAUUGGCCCGACCUACAGGUUGGGAGGCUUCGCGUUUGCUUUCCCGAUAGGGUCGCCAAUUGUGCAUGACGUAUCGCAGGCCAUCUUAUCUCCUGCAGUACAAGAGGAGAUGGAACGGAUAGAGAAGAAAUGGUUCGGUGAUCCAGGAGCUUGUCAGAGCAAGAGCAAUAGCAUCGGCUCGUCCAGCCUUGGCUUCAGCAGCUUUGGUGGGUUGUUCCUCAUCAGUGGCACCGUGUCAGGCCUUGUGCUCCUCAUCCAACUCGCAAUCUUCGUCUACCAGGAGCACGGCAAGCUCUGGGACACAUCACUGCAUAAAUGGUUUCAAUGCCUCGAUUUCGUUCUUGGCGCCAAGGAUUGGAGGUUGCCAAUCUUCAACGGGCCACGCAUCAGGAAUGACGACAGUGUGAAUCAGCCUCAUGGAGCUACAGGGGCUAGUGCCAUGCAUGACUUCACUUCUGAGUUGUGA
rnacentral:rRNA from 1 species